GCGACAUCUUUGAAGAGGUUUAUCGG
rnacentral:piRNA from 1 species